rnacentral:rRNA from 1 species
GACGAACGCUGGCGGCGUGCCUAAUACAUGCAAGUAGAACGCUGAAGGAGGAGCUUGCUUCUCCGGAUGAGUUGCGAACGGGUGAGUAACGCGUAGGUAACCUGCCUGGUAGCGGGGGAUAACUAUUGGAAACGAUAGCUAAUACCGCAUAAGAGUAGAUGUUGCAUGACAUUUGCUUAAAAGGUGCAAUUGCAUCACUACCAGAUGGACCUGCGUUGUAUUAGCUAGUUGGUGGGGUAACGGCUUACCAAGGCGACGAUACAUAGCCGACCUGAGAGGGUGAUCGGCCACACUGGGACUGAGACACGGCCCAGACUCCUACGGGAGGCAGCAGUAGGGAAUCUUCGGCAAUGGACGGAAGUCUGACCGAGCAACGCCGCGUGAGUGAAGAAGGUUUUCGGUUCGUAAAGCUCUGUUGUAAGAGAAGAACGAGUGUGAGAGUGGAAAGUUCACACUGUGACGGUAUCUUACCAGAAAGGGACGGCUAACUACGUG